CAUUUUCUAAUGUGGAUUCUUAACACGACUUCCACGUCUAAAUCUUUUUAAAUGGAACAUGAAUAAUAUAAAAUAGGAUUCAAUAUUAGUGAAUGAAAAAAAUUAGAUGGAAAUAUAACGAGGACGAAAUAUCUGUGAACAAAUAAUUAAGAUGAACUAGCUUUGAUACUAAAUUGAUAUUGGGUCUAUUAUUAUCCAAGUUCUUUUAUCAAUUGCCCAUCUCUUUUCUAAACGUAGGAUUCUUAACCGGAUGGGCAAUUAAUCUCUCUAUAAACUUGGACAAUACUCAUGGUGAUUUUUAAGGUUGAAUUAGGUCAAAAAUACAUUUCUCAACAUGGUACCAUAUGGGCAACUUGAUUUUGCAUGCUAUCUGUUUGAAGAUGGCCUUCAGUUAGUUCUGAAGUUUAUUUACUAGACCAAUUUUCAUGCCUGGUUCACUUUUUGAUGAAAAGCUUGGAACAAAAAAGAAUCUGAUCGUUGGAGAAAAGCGAAGAAGAUGGCAUUGAUGAAGCAGAUGAUGAUAACUAUAAGGAAGAACAUGAGGAGGAACGGAGAAAAAUGAAGAAGAACGCUUUGAAGAGCGGAUGAUGAUAACUCAUAAAGAAGAACAUGAGCAGGAACCUGUUGUACCAGAGGAAAAAGAGCCUGGUAAGUUAAAGUUUGUUCUCCCUCCCUAUGUAGCCUACUCUUUAUGAAUGGGACCUGUUAAUUUGGAUUCUAAAUUAGAGAAAUGAGCAUCCAACAUCUUAAAGUAGACAAAUUGAAAUGGCCAUGUUGCCCAAUGUGAUAUCAUUUUCCUGACAACAACAACAAUAUACCCAGUGUAAUCUCACAAGUGGGGCCUGGGGAUGGUAGUGUGUAAUGUGUAUGCAGUAUUACCCCUAUCUUAUGAAGUUAAAGAGGUUGUUUCCGAUA